AAUUUUUCAGGACUUGCCAUGUUGGUAGGUGACUCAGGCCAAUGCCUUCCAGCAAUAGCCAAAAUUUCCAAGUGCCACAAAUGCAUGUUUUACGAUUUUCUUUUCCCAAAGGAGAGUGGAAACUAAAGGAUCCAACACGUCUCAGAUUCCUCCUGAGGAAACCUGGUGUUACAGUGGAUUGGAGACUUGGAGCAUUUAGUGCUUGGGUAUUUCAUCAAGCAUACGGGAAACACAAAAUGGUGGCUAAAAUAUGUCUAGAUGAUGUUGUUACCAUAGCGACAUGCAAAGCAUCC